GGUCUGGUGGUGUAGUUGGUUAUCACGUCAGUCUAACAGUUCGACUUCAUCCUCGAAUUGAGCACACUGAAGGUCUCCGGUUCAAGUCCGGGCUAGAUCA
rnacentral:tRNA from 1 species